rnacentral:tRNA from 1 species
GUGAUCUUAGUUUAAUAGAAUAUCGAUUUGUCUCGUCGAAGGUAAUAGUUUAUUAGGUUACU